rnacentral:tRNA from 1 species
AGGAGUAUUAGUAAAAUUUACAUAAUCUUGUCAAGAUUAAAUUACAGGUGAAACUCCUGUAUACUCCU